ensembl:lncRNA
GCAGAAGUAAAAAUAGUUGCUGGCUGCCUGCAUGUGAGGGAAAAAGCUCAAGGCAACUUCCGGUGGCCAAGGUAACUUCCAGUGGAUGAGGCAACUUCCGGUGGCCGAGGUAACUUCCAGUGGAUGAGGCAACUUCCGGUGGCCGAGGUAACUUCCAGUGGAUGAGGCAACUUCCGGUGGCCGAGGUAACUUCCAGUGGAUGAGGCAACUUCCGGUGGCCGAGGUAACUUCCAGUGGAUGAGGCAACUUCCGGUGGCCAAGGUAACUUCUGGUGACCGAGGCAACUUCCAGUGGCCGAGGUAACUUCUGGUGACCGAGGCAGCUUCCGGUGGUCAAUGACCUGCUUGUGUUUGGUGGUGGGGUUAGUACUGGGUGUAUGUUUUCCUCAAGAUUCACCAAGUUUCACACUUAAAGAGUAUACAUGUUGAUAAACUUGACCUAAAAUUUGAAAGUAAAAAGCCCUCAUGCUGGCCGCCUCGUGGAGACAAGGUGGGAGCACGGGUGCAAAGAAGCAGCUGGAACUGUGUCAGAGAAGAGCUGACACGAUGUGGGCUGAAGUGUAGUCUGAGUAAGAUUUGAAAUAGUUGUCCCUUCUAGGACAUCUUCUCUAAGGUGACAUUGUUAGUCUUCUCCUACAUACUCCUUCUGGGUAUGCCAUUGGCCGCAUUGCAAUAUCUGCAUCAAAACAUGGCUGAGUGUCCUGUGCCAAGUCAUUAACAACCUUUUCCUCUGAGAGGUGGUUUUCAAUAAGAUGACCUCCUGCCUCUGUCCUAAGCUGCUUUCUUCUAUGUGCUACUUAUAUCUACAUCGGCCUCUAUGUCCUGGAUGUUUUUAUGAGAACUUGGUAUAGAGGAAAUAUCACUUAUUCCUAAUUCUAAAUAGAACACUACCUGCUAAGCUGCAGGUACUUACAAAAUGCCUUCUUUCUUUUUGGUUUAAGAAAAAAAGCCAUGAGGUAAAAUACUGCACAGAGAGGACUGUGCGUGCAGAUUUGCUUAGCUGGGAAGCACUGACAGAGUCCACAAGAUCUUAG